GUACCCCAUUGCACCUGUAUUAACGCCAGAAACUCUAUUGCGAGCGCCUCUGACACGCGCCGGAAGCGUGAUCGCGCGUGCGCAUGCACGGCGUUGCGGCGGUGAUCGCAAGGCGGGAGCUAGUACGGCACACAUGUUUCCUAUACCUCCCCUUGCCACCUUUAUUCCUUUGCCGAACCUGCGGGGCUGCACGAAGACUGAUUCGAUUGCACGAUUUGAGACGAAAGGAGGGGAGCCGCCUGCCCCCUCCCCCUCCCACCGAAAAAAAAAAGGCUGUGCAAGCCUGAAUAUACUUUCUGGCGCAGCCGAUGCGUCUUCGCCGCACUUCUGCGUGGCGGGCGCUUUGCCAUAUCCCUGAUGCUUUGCGCACGCAUCGUCGUGACUUGGUUUCGGUGACAUGCUCAUCGUCAUCGCGGCCGCCGCCACGUGAGGUCGCGAAGCUUUUUUCCAGCCCCAUGGUGCGGGAGUGGUGGGUGAACGCUGCUCAAGAGGCGGUCAUCUCCCGGAAAGCCAUCAGUCGGGCAGAGCGCAUUGUGACGGAGGCCGACGAUCCGCGCUCCGGUAAGAGGCACUUCUACGACAGUGAUGCCCGACUCUGCCUCGUGUGCAACGCGCGUCUGGAGGGCAGCUACAGCACGCACAGCCACAGCGUCGACCACAAACCGCGCGUUGCACUUUUGAAGCGCACAAUCGGUAUGAUUCUCACAUUUCUUGAGCAGGCCGCCUCAUCGCCGUCGCUGCCGCCGCCGCAGGAGUCGGACUCGUCUUACUCGCUGGCUGGCAGCAAACGCUUCUCAAGGUCAGUGUCAACUCACACAGGAACACCUGCCGCCCCAGCCCCUUCUUGCUUCCACGCCUUGUAUGCCGAGUCACCGCUGUUUGCUGAGGACGGCGUGCCAAGCCGCGCGCUCCUCUAUCACCGCCCGCUCACGCUACGCGAAUUCGACCUGGUAGAUGUGAUCAUGCGACGCUGGUGGAACACCUUGCAUAAUCCACCACCUAGGCGGGGUAGUCUUUCCUUUGACCGCCUCCUCUCGCUUUCCUCGACUGAGCUGCAGAUGCGGCGAUGGCGUGUGCGCUACCUACUCCACUUUCUCAAGUCGCGUGGGGUUCUCCGCUCUUGCCUGACACUGAGGUCCGACCAAGUGAAUGAGGCGCCGUCACCCAACGAGCGUAUUCAUCGUGGUGAGGCCUUUGAGCGGCUCGAGAUGGUUGGUGACUUUUUCUUCAAGAGCCUCACCCCCGACCGAAUGCACACCGUCUUCCCGGCCGAUGAGGGUGGACUUACAGCUGAACUCCAGUACUUUGAGCGGGCCUUGGAUUCGAAUCACGGUCUGCUGGCCAUCUAUGACUACCUCGGUCUGGAUGACAUCGCUGGCUGCUUUUUAGCCAACAACAAGGCAAAGGCCGACGUUGUAGAGGCCGUCAUUGGUGAACUGAAGGUUCUGCUGUGGUCGACCGAGGUGGUGUGGGGCAUGGAGUACUACGCCGUACCUGGGGAGCGCGCCACGCAUGUCUACCUGCGAGCGUUGGUGGCGCACACCAUCGCCGAGCUGGGGCACACGGUGCUGAUGUGGCAGCUGGAGAGUACGCUACGCAAUUGCCGCGACUUCAUUCUCAAGCACACCGUGGAGGAAUACUUGGGCGCCGAGAAAGGGAACGAGCGUCGUGCAAGCGGAGGAGGGGACGAGUGCGACGUCCCCGCGGACCUUCCAAAGUACGCACCGCUGCCGCCGUUGCUCGCGUGGAAUCGGCGCCGCCCGGGCGUGUCGGUGCGGAGGGGUGAGGUGCCGUUCGCAAGUAAACGGUCUCGAAGCAGCAUACCGCCGUCUCCUCAAGACCCGCUUCGCAGACUCGCCCCGACUGCGAGCUGCAUUCCGGAGGCUAUUCGGGAUCACUACGCCGUCGGUCGAAAAAAGUGGAGCUCAUGUGCCUGUAAAGCAGCCAUUCAAGCCCUCUGUGGCUCCCUCACACAAACUGCGCUACAGCAUGGCAAUGGCCACACCGCUGACGCUCUAUCGUCGAACUCAACGUCGGCAUCGUUGCCCCUCUCUCCACAACCGCAGCCGUCCCCAACCGCGCCGGCGUCCGCGGGGGCCCCUCGCAGUGUGCUACGGACUCUGGUGACUGCGAAUUGCGUGGUGAUUCGUAAUUCGGCCCCGCUCCUCGCUAGAAACACGUUGACUAGAAGGGUGGCCGAGUAGCACUGCUGCACCCCUUCGCUCUCGCUUUUCGGAUAUGGCGUCCCCUUUCGCCCUUGCGAGUGGUGCGCCUUGUAUUUGCACUGCACAGGUUUGCGAGGGCGAAGAAACGAGGAGAAACGAAGCACCGAGCGGGGCAGCGCGGCACUGUGUUCGCGGAGCGGCGGAGGAUGAGCGAGAGGCGGUGCAAACGGUAUUCCUUUCUGCACGCAUGCACGCAUCUAUUUAUGUGUGCCUCUCGAUCUUUUGCAAGUUGCGUCGUCUCUCGUGGCCGUCGUGUGCCCGCUGCUCCUCGCGGUGUAAAGUGGACUGUGGCCCUUCCUACUCCCUUCCUCUGCCACGAAUGCGAACACAUAAAA
rnacentral:misc_RNA from 1 species